rnacentral:misc_RNA from 1 species
GAUGAAGAACGCAGCGAAAUGCGAUAAGUAAUGUGAAUUGCAGAAUUCCGUGAAUCAUCGAAUUUUUGAACGCAUAUUGCGCCCCCUGGUAUUCCGGGGGGCAUGCCUGUCCGAGCGUCAUUGCCGCCCUCAAGCACGGCUUGUGUGUUGGGCCCCCGCCCCCCGGCUUCGGGGGGCGGGCCCGAAAGGCAGCGGCGGCACCGCGUCCGGUCCUCGAGCGUAUGGGGCUUCGUCACCCGCUCUGUAGGCCCGGCCGGCGCCCGCCGGCGACCCCAAUCAAUCUUUCCAGGUUGACCUCGGAUCAGGUAGGGAUACCCGCUGAACUUAAGCAUAUCAAUAAGCGGAGGA